rnacentral:rRNA from 1 species
UAUUACAGCCAUAUCACGUUGAAUGCACUGGUUUUCGUGUGAUCACCGAAGUUAAGCUAUGUCGAGCCUACCGAGUACUUAGAUGGGUAACCGCUUGGGAGGCAUACGUGAUGAAAGCA